rnacentral:rRNA from 1 species
UACGGAGGUGCGAGCGUUAAUCGGAAUUACUGGCGUAAGCGUGCGCAGGCGGUUGUUAAGCGAGAUGUGAAGCCCCGGGCUCAACCUGGGAACCGCAUUUCGAACUGGCAAACUAGAGUCUUGUAGAGGGGUAGAAUUCCAGGUGUAGCGGUGAAAUGCGUAGAGAUCUGGAGGAAUACCGGUGGCGAAAGCGGCCCCUGGACAAGACUGACGCUCAGGCACGAAGCGUGGGAGCAACAGG